CCAGGGUCCCUGUCUUCGGUGGAUGUGCUGUGUUGGGGAGAGCACGUGACAAGAGUUGCCCAACUGUCGUUCCCUUUUUGGAAGUCAUGGAUGCUUUUUUUUUUUCCUUCUUCUCAAGGUUGUGGCUAUAAUAACGCAAAUGUUCCAGGUGAUCUUUGAAAGAGAGAGAAGGCAAAAUCACAUCAUGGAAGCACACCCCACAAUGGAUCCUCAGCAUACAAAACCACCAAAAUUACAGAUAAUCUCCAGGUGACAGUAAUUCAAUGAACAUUUGGUCUCCGCUUCACAAUUAUUCAAAAUAAAAGCCAUAGAGAUCUGUU